rnacentral:rRNA from 1 species
UACGUAGGGGGCAAGCGUUGUCCGGAUUUAUUGGGCGUAAAGGGUAGGUAGGUGGUCUUGUUUGUCUGAGGUGAAAGCCCGGAGCUUAACUUCGGAAGUGCCUCAGAAACGGCAAGACUCGAGUACUGGAGAGGGUCGUGGAAUUCCCGGUGUAGCGGUGAAAUGCGCAGAUAUCAGGAGGAACACCGGUGGCGAAGGCGGAUCUCUGGGCCGAUACUGACGCUGAGGAGCGAAAGCGUGGGGAGCGAACAGG